ACGCACCCUUAGUGUUCCAUUCUCCGUUACAGCAGAGUUAAUGCUGAAUCUGGCGGCUGCCCAGGAUUGGCAAUUGGAGUUUUGAAACCUUGCAAUUGUUAUUCCACAGAUGAUUGUAUCACUUGGUGCCGGUCUGUGGGAUGCUCUAUUUGGUGGAGGAAACAUACCAGCCUUCAUUUUGGCUUCCUUAUGUACCCUGGCUGCAGGGAUUACCGCAACUCUUAGGUUGCCUGAUUUAUCGAGUUCCUUCAAGUCAUCUGGUUUUCAUUUUGGUUGAGGACCAAAAUGGCAUUAACAAAGUGAAAA